rnacentral:rRNA from 1 species
UUACACAUCUGACGUGAGCACGUACCCGAUUCCUAUACUGGAAUGGAACCCCGUGAUCUUAGAUAUUCCACAUUCAGAUAUAUCUCCCCUUGAUGGUGACGCCAUGUGAUAACAUAUCUGCCUUGGAAUUUUUUUUAUUCAAUAAUCUCUGCACACUGGGAAGACGCGUGAAUGGCUGUUUACUGAAUAAUGAUAUUCCCCAUACAUUGGCGGACCAACGUGAUCUGAUGUCUGUUACGAUUUUUUCCUCCCUCAUAUAAUGGUGGGGCCUGAUGAUCUGAGGUCAAUGACACGCGCGGGGGAUAACAGCGUAAUCUUCCUUGAUAGUUCUUAUAGAUGGGCGGGUUUGCGACCUCGAUGUUGGCUCUGGGUAUCCUGAGGCAUGCAGGCGGUCUCAAGGGUUGGUUCGUUCGCCCAUUAAAACCCGACGUGAUCU